UUCACAUCCAAUCCACCAUCUCAACCCCUACCUCUAAAAUUUAAAAAAAUCUUCUAAAAGUUCACUCCAUCCUAUCCCCUAUUUCUUCUCUCUAACCCUAAAUUCUAAAAAGACUAUACAGUAACUUUUCAUGUAUGAAAAGCUACUGUAGCCCCCUCAUCUUCAACCACCCGCCCAUCUCAUCUACUCCCGCCCAUAUCAUAUCUUCUCCCGCCUAUCUCAUCUUCUCCCGCGCUCAUUCUUUUCCUUUCCUUUCCACAGGUAUGGUUUACAAUUUCAUCUUGCCCUAACCCCAAAUUCAUUAGGGCUUUUGUUGAGAAGAAUUACAAUGAACUGAAGAAAGCAAACACCAGGCUGAGAGAAACCCAUCUUUCUUUUCCCUAUUCUCGCACAGCUUUGAAUAUGGAUUCACAAGACCAAGGUAUGUACUACACCAACCUUCUUCAUGGAAACUCUAUUGUAAGCCUUGAAGACUCUCCACUCUUACCCACUAAUCCAAUCAGCGUUAAGAAAUCAACAAGGGGUGUGAAUUUCAUCCCGGAAGAAGACAAGCUACUUGUCUCCGCCUGGCUUAAUCAUAGCCUUGAUGCCAUUCAAGGAACGGAUCAGAAAUACUCUCAGUUAUGGGAAAAAAUCUUUGAGUACUUUCAGCAACAUAAAGAAACCACGGAAAUCUUUGAACUGAACAUUAGCGCGUUUUUGGGGUGCUACACGGAAAUAUUACCAUCUAUAUUUUGGUGUUAAAAGGAAGUAUUACUACACAUAUUUUGUAGCUUUGUCUAACCUCAUACUUAUGUGUUUUUGGUGUUACGUGUAAAUCCAUUGUGUAGGCUGUUAAAUAGGUCAAACUUGGCAUGAUUUGGUAUUGAUCUUAAACUGUUAUCUUAAACUGUUGUUUGUAGUCUGAUGUUAGUGAAAAUGGAUGGUAUGAUAUUUGAUUUGAUCAUUAUUGUUUUCCAAGUGAAUAUAUAUUAUAAUGUGCAGAAUCUUUGAACAGGCCACCUAGUACCAUGUUUGUCCGAAUGCUUGCUCAGACCAGUGCCAAGUGAUUACCAAGUAUUACCAGAUAGCCGUUGAGCGUGGGUUUACAAGAGGACGUACAACACGACAAGUUGCGGCUGCUUGUUUUUAUGUUGCCUGCGUUUUUUGCUGAAAAACUGCAGUUUUUUGGCCAACCCGGGGUGAAAAGCGCAGAGGUGGAGGUUAUAAACAACGAGGUUGCUGCUGAUGACGGGAGACCUUCAUCUCCGCCAGAUAGCGAGGAGGAGUUUUAGCAAAAAAAAGAACUUUUUCUUACGAUUGGAGCUGAUGAUGCCUUUGUUAAAUAAGACAUCAACACUAAUAUGAAAUCAAAUGUUGAUGCCCCUGUUAAAAUAUAUUCAGAUAAUGCAAAUGAAGCAAUUACAGCAAAUGGGAAGAGGAGGUUGCCUGAGAAACCUGCUGAGAAAAAGGUAUUUUUCCCAUGCAUUCUCACUUACUGAUUGGCAGAGGUGGCAACAUAAGUCUGUUGGGUGAGUUAAAUAAUUGGCCAAAAUGGGUUCAAGACAAAACAAUGGGUUAUUCAAUGUGUGUCAAAAUGGGUUGUUGCUGUUUGUUAAUGAAUAUUGUUGUCUUGAUCUAGCUAGCAAACAUCUUGUCUUUCUUUAUUGUAAGUGAGAAUAAAUAAACUGUGGUGAAUAUCAUAGUGAAUUUCAAGUA